UACCAUGCAGUCGACGGUAACAGGAAGCAGCUUGCUUCUUUGCUGACGAGUGGCGGACGGGUGAGUAAUGUCUGGGAAACUGCCUGAUGGAGGGGGAUAACUACUGGAAACGGUAGCUAAUACCGCAUAACGUCGCAAGACCAAAGAGGGGGACCUUCGGGCCUCUUGCCAUCGGAUGUGCCCAGAUGGGAUUAGCUAGUAGGUGGGGUAACGGCUCACCUAGGCGACGAUCCCUAGCUGGUCUGAGAGGAUGACCAGCCACACUGGAACUGAGACACGGUCCAGACUCCUACGGGAGGCAGCAGUGGGGAAUAUUGCACAAUGGGCGCAAGCCUGAUGCAGCCAUGCCGCGUGUAUGAAGAAGGCUUCGGGUUGUAAAGUACUUUCAGCGGGGAGGAAGGGAGUAAAGUUAUAC
rnacentral:rRNA from 1 species